UCCCUUGUGGCUCAGAUGGUAAAGCGUCUGCCUACAAUGCAGGAGACCCAGGUUCAACCCCUGGGUUGGGAA
rnacentral:tRNA from 1 species